AAAUAAAAAUAAAAAAUGAAAAAAUAGCUCCAGACAUGCUACUGCACUCUGAGAGAGACAGAAGAACUGACUAUGAGAAAUCAAGUGACCAUGUGGCCAAGGCUGCCUGCCAUGAGAUGGUCCCUGCUAAGCCCUGCAGCCACCCAAGACACAAUGGAAGGGGCACGUCUGGGAUCCGGCAAGAGCAGGGUCAGAAGGCACAACUAGGUGACCCAGGCCCCAUGUCCCCCGUCAUUGUUGUGCUGAUCUCUUCCCUCGGUGCACACCUGUGCAGGAACCCUUGGUAGUCCUUUGCUGGAGUUUGCAGGUAAGUGGACAAGUGCAGCAGCCACAGUCUGAGAAGGUUCUGGUGACCAGAGACUCAGCCUUCAGGCUGUUAUUACACACUUGCGGUGGAAAAAGAAGUGGCCUGAGGUAAGAAUACAUGGGCAGCCCCUGAAUAGCUUGGCAGGUUUUUCAAGGGUCUGAAAGAAGAAAGAUUGAAAGACAGGGAUGAGGGUCUGGGUUACCCCAGCAAGUAAGCCCCCUGGACCCAUAGUGGUGCUGGCCAAGGGUCAGGGGACUCCUGGACAGGUGGUGGAAGCAGGAGACCGGAGAGAUCAGCUGCCACCUGGAGACCAGCUUCAGGGGCCUGAGGGCUGAGUCUCUCCCACUAUCCUUCUCUUAUAAGUUUCCCCCAGGAAGAGACCAGCCAGAUCUUUGGAGAAGCUGAUCCCAGAAGUUUUAUUGUAUAAAACAAGAGGUCUGAGUGGCAUAAGAGGCAGGUUGUUGUGGAUGCUGUGGUACACUACCGGGCUCUCCAUUCUGGACUGAAGCCCUCCUUCUGCCAGGUGCUAGAGUGUUAGCCGCCAAAGCCUCUCAGCUGAGUCCUUCUCCGGGAACUGCCUUCAGCUGAUGUUCACAGAUGGCGGCCAUACGGCAUUUCCUCUCUUCCUGGGUAUAAAGCCCAGGCCCCCCUACCUCAAGAUGGGACGCCUCUGAAAGUCCAUCUCUGCUCCAGUGCUGCCACCGGGUAGCUGCGGCCUCUGUUGUGACUGCGCCUGCUGCUGCUCAGCUCACCUUCACUCCCACCUAUGCAGAUGCUGCCUUUUGGAAGCCAGCCACCGUACUAUGAGAAGCCCAAGCACAUGGAGAAGCCAUAAGUAUGUGUCCCGGUCAACAGUCCAGCCGAGGCCAGCCUUUGUGCAUAUGAGUCAUGAAACAUUCAGAUUAUCACAGCUCUCAACCGUUCAAGUCACCCCCAGCAUUUGAGUCUUCCCAGCUGUGGCCCCAGACAGCACACCAUGAACCACAGAAAUCAAAAUCAAGAUGAAGAAAAAAGCAAGAUCGUCUGAGACAGAGAUAGAGUCUCUAGCCCUACUCGGGUUUGCGUUACAUCAGGCUUCCUUACAAAGCAGGGCCUGAUGAAGGCAGCUGGCACUUCACCCUGAGCAACAAUCCAACAGAUGU